CAGGCCUAACACAUGCAAGUCGAACGGGCGGUAGCAAUACCGCUAGUGGCGCACGGGUGCGUAACGCGUAACCAACCUGCCCUUGACUGGGGGAUAGCCCGCCGAAAGGCGGAUUAAUACCGCAUAACCUCGCAGUAUGGCAUCAUACAACGAGUAAAGAUUUAUUGGUCAAGGAUGGGGUUGCGUGACAUUAGCUAGUUGGCGGGGUAAGGGCCCACCAAGGCGACGAUGUCUAGGGGACCUGAGAGGGUGAUCCCCCACACUGGCACUGAGAUACGGGCCAGACUCCUACGGGAGGCAGCAGUAGGGAAUAUUGGGCAAUGGGCGAGAGCCUGACCCAGCCAUGCCGCGUGCCGGAUGAAGGCCUUAGGGUUGUAAAGCUCUUUUACCCGGGAUGAUAAUGACAGUACCGGGAGAAUAAGCUCCGGCUAACUCCGUGCCAGCAGCCGCGGUAAU
rnacentral:rRNA from 1 species